rnacentral:rRNA from 1 species
UCAGAUUGAACGCUGGCGGCAUGCUUUACACAUGCAAGUCGAACGGUAACAGGGAGCUUGCUCCGCUGACGAGUGGCGAACGGGUGAGUAAUAUAUCGGAACGUGCCCAAGAGUGGGGGAUAACGUAGCGAAAGUUACGCUAAUACCGCAUACGAUCYAAGGAUGAAAGCAGGGGACCGCAAGGCCUUGUGCUCCUGGAGCGGCCGAUAUCUGAUUAGCUAGUUGGUGAGGUAAAGGCUCACCAAGGCGACGAUCAGUAGCUGGUCUGAGAGGACGACCAGCCACACUGGAACUGAGACACGGUCCAGACUCCUACGGGAGGCAGCAGUGGGGAAUUUUGGACAAUGGGGGCAACCCUGAUCCAGCAAUGCCGCGUGAGUGAAGAAGGCCUUCGGGUUGUAAAGCUCUUUUGUCAGGGAAGAAAAGGUCGUGGCUAA